CUCUUUUUCUCUACUUUUUGAUCCCAAAAGUACUCCAUAUCCUUCUUUGGUCAUAUACAACCAACAAAUAAUGAAAAGCACUAAUAAGAGCAUUUUGUUAUCACUUUUAUUAUCAAAACUAUACAAGAAGGUGAUUAUUCAGGGCCUGAUUAUAGUUAAAUUUACCUAUUAUCGAUACCCCACACUUAAACCUUUACUCGGCCUCAAGCAAUUUAAACUGCACUUCUAGGCCUAACCGUUUGAUGCAUUGCCCCAAUUUAUGUCACACUCGCCAUUAUGAAGGACCAACCUAAGCAUUGCAACAAUCAUACUUCAGAUGCAGACUCUCAUGCCAUGACACACUCAUGCUCACUCUAGUUACUCUAACAGAAGUGAAGACUUGCUUUUUCUUUUUGAGUCACAUGCCCUCACAUCAUAGUUUUGAGAGAAGUUCCACACACAUAAAAUUCAAACAAUAAGGAACCAAGGAUAGAAAGAAUUCACUCACUCUCAGCAAAGAGC
rnacentral:lncRNA from 1 species